rnacentral:tRNA from 1 species
UAGGUGGAUGCUCUCUGGUUUGAGCACUUAGCUGUUAACUAAGAAUUUGUAGGAUCGAGGCCUACCCACCUAG